rnacentral:rRNA from 1 species
UACGAAGGGGGGCUAGCGUUGUUCGGAAUUACUGGGCGUAAAGCGCACGUAGGCGGAUAUUUAAGUCAGGGGUGAAAUCCCGGGGCUCAACCCCGGAACUGCCUUUGAUACUGGGGAUCUCGAGUCCGGGAGAGGUGAGUGGAACUGCGAGUGUAGAGGUGAAAUUCGUAGAUAUUCGCAAGAACACCAGUGGCGAAGGCGGCUCACUGGCCCGAUACUGACGCUGAGGCACGAAAGCGUGGGGAGCAAACAGGG